rnacentral:rRNA from 1 species
AACGAACGCUGGCGGCAUGCCUAACACAUGCAAGUCGAACGAGACCUUCGGGUCUAGUGGCGCACGGGUGCGUAACGCGUGGGAACCUGCCCUUAGGUUCGGAAUAACUCCCCGAAAGGGGUGCUAAUACCGGAUAAUUUCUUCGGACCAAAGAUUUAUCGCCUUUGGAUGGGCCCGCGUUGGAUUAGCUAGUUGGUAGGGUAAAAGCCUACCAAGGCGACGAUCCAUAGCUGGUCUGAGAGGAUGAUCAGCCACACUGGGACUGAGACACGGCCCAGACUCCUACGGGAGGCAGCAGUGGGGAAUAUUGGACAAUGGGCGGAAGCCUGAUCCAGCAAUGCCGCGUGAGUGAUGAAGGCCGUAGGGUUGUAAAGCUCUUUUACCCGGGAUGAUAAUGACAGUACCGGGAGAAUAAGCUCCGGCUAACUCCGUG